UACGAAGGGGGCUAGCGUUGUUCGGAAUUACUGGGCGUAAAGGGCGCGCAGGCGGCUCUUCAAGUCAGAUGUGAAAGCCCCGGGCUCAACCUGGGAACUGCAUUUGAGACUGGAGAGCUUGAGUUCGGGAGAGGGAUGCGGAAUUCCAGGUGUAGCGGUGAAAUGCGUAGAUAUCGGGAGGAACACCAGUGGCGAAGGCGACUACCUGGCCUGUUCUUGACGCUGAGGCGCGAAAGCUAGGGGAGCAAACGGG
rnacentral:rRNA from 1 species